GAUGAACGCUGGCGGCGUGCCUAACACAUGCAAGUCGAACGGAGAUUCCGGACGGAAGUUUUCGGAUGGAAGACUGUAAUUCUUAGUGGCGGACGGGUGAGUAACGCGUGGGCAACCUGCCCUAUACAGGGGGAUAGCAGCUGGAAACGGCUGGUAAGACCGCAUAAGUCGGCGAGACCGCAUGGUUUUGCCGGGAAAUGAGCAAUCAGGUAUAGGAUGGGCCCGCGUCCGAUUAGCCAGUUGGCAGGGUAAAAGCCUACCAAAGCAACGAUCGGUAGCCGGACUGAGAGGUCGGACGGCCACAUUGGGACUGAGACACGGCCCAAACUCCUACGGGAGGCAGCAGUGGGGGAUAUUGCACAAUGGAGGAAACUCUGAUGCAGCGACGCCGCGUGAGUGAAGAAGUAUUUCGGUAUGUAAAGCUCUAUCAGCAGGGAAGAUGAUGACGGUACCUGACGAAGAAGCCCCGGCUAACUACGUG
rnacentral:rRNA from 1 species